UGAACGCUGGCGGCAUGCUUUACACAUGCAAGUCGAACGGUAACAGCACUUCGGUGGCUGACGAGUGGCGAACGGGUGAGUAAUACAUCGGAACGUGCCUAGUAGUGGGGGAUAACUACUCGAAAGAGUAGCUAAUACCGCAUGAGAUCUAAGGAUGAAAGCAGGGGACCUUCGGGCCUUGCGCUACUAGAGCGGCUGAUGGCAGAUUAGGUAGUUGGUGGGAUAAAAGCUUACCAAGCCGACGAUCUGUAGCUGGUCUGAGAGGACGACCAGCCACACUGGGACUGAGACACGGCCCAGACUCCUACGGGAGGCAGCAGUGGGGAAUUUUGGACAAUGGGCGCAAGCCUGAUCCAGCAAUGCCGCGUGCAGGAUGAAGGCCUUCGGGUUGUAAACUGCUUUUGUACGGAACGAAAAGCCCUCUUCUAAUACAGGAGGGUCAUGACGGUACCGUAAGAAUAAGCACCGGCUAACUACGUG
rnacentral:rRNA from 1 species